GACGAACGCUGGCGGCGUGCUUAACACAUGCAAGUCGAACGGAAAGGCCCUGCUUUUGUUGGGUUCUCGAUUGGCGAACGGGUGAGUAACACGUGAGUAACCUGCCCUUGACUUUGUGAUAACUUCAGGAAACUGGGGCUAAUACCGGAUAUGAGCUCCUGCUGCAUGUUGGGGGUUGGAAAGUUUCGGCGGUUGGGGAUGGACUCGCGGCUUAUCAGCUUGUUGGUGGGGUAGUGGCUUACCAAGGCUUUGACGGGUAGCCGGCCUGAGAGGGUGACCGGCCACAUUGGGACUGAGAUACGGCCCAGACUCCUACGGGAGGCAGCAGUGGGGAAUAUUGCACAAUGGGCGGAAGCCUGAUGCAGAAACGCCGCGUGCGGGAUGACGGCCUUCGGGUUGUAAACCGCUUUCGCAUGUGACGAAGCGUGAGUGACGGUAAUGGGUAAAGAAGCACCGGCUAACUACGUG
rnacentral:rRNA from 1 species